GGGUAUCUGAUAUGAAACUCCCCCAAAGGAGUCAAGACCCACAGGCUGAGAACCAUUGGAAUGGAACUCAUAGAAAGAGAAAGAUCUAGGCUCACUUUCCUAUGCUUGGAACACCUGGGCUCAUGCCUCUUUCUAUCCUGAUACACAUCAGUGCCAUGGACCAGACUAGAAAGGCAACUUCUAUUCUCCAUUCCUCAACUCUACCUCAGGCAGAGGCCGGCUGCCUGGGAAAGGAUGUGACCAUAAGAGAGACAGCUAUCUUCAGUGGGGACCUGGUGGAGGAGCUGUCACCACUUCAAGCCAUUGUGUUACAGGGUGGAGUUCCUGAACUUCCUGGCAAUCUGAAUCCACUUCUGAGUCUUUAAUCUCAGGCCCUGGUGGGAUGACUCAAGCCUGGCUUCUCUGGAACAGGUCCUACAGAGCAAGACACUGCUCGAGAGCCAGAGCUAGUGAGCAGCAGGGGCUGGAACAGAACCCUGGCUGCUUGGAGUCCAAUAUCCC
rnacentral:lncRNA from 1 species